rnacentral:rRNA from 1 species
CGCAAGCGUUAUCCGGAUUUACUGGGCGUGAAGCGUCUGUAGACGGUCGGGCAAGUUGGACGUGAAAGCUCCGGGCUCAACCCGGAGAGGCCGUACAAUACUGUCGGGCUAGAGGGGGUCAGAGGAACGUGGAAUUUCCGGUGUAGCGGUAAAAUGCGCAGAUAUCGGAAGGAACACCAGUGGCGAAGGCGGCGUUCUAGGGCCCACCUGACGCUGAGAGACGAAAGCUAGGGGAGCGAACAGGAUUAGAGACCCUGGUAGUCCUAGCCCUAAACGAUGAAUGCUAGGUGUGGGAGCGUAGAGCUUCUGUGCCGGAGCAAACGCGAUAAGCAUUCCGCCUGGGGAAUACGGCCGCAAGGUUAAAACUCAAACGAAUUGACGGGACCCCGCACAAGCAGCGGAGCGUGUGGUUUAAUUCGAUGCUACACGAAGAACCUUACCUGGGUUUGACAUGGACGUGGUAGGGAAGCGAAAGCGGACUGACCCUUCGGGGAGCGUCCACAGGUGCUGCAUGGCUGUCGUCAGCUCGUGCCGUGAGGUGUCGGGUUAAGUCCCGUAACGAGCGCAACCCUUGCCCUUAGUUACAAGUGUCUAGGGGGACUGCCGGCGGGAAGCCGGAGGAAGGUGGGGAUGACGUCAAGUCAGCAUGGCCUUUAUGUCCAGGGCUACACACACGCUACAAUGGGCGGUACAAAGGGCAGCGAAGCCGCGAGGUGGAGCGAAUCUCAGAAAGCCGUUCGUAGUUCGGAUAGCAGGCUGCAACCCGCCUGCUUGAAGCUGGAGUUGCUAGUAACCGCGCGUCAGCCAUAGUGCGGUGAUACGUUCCCGGGGUUUGUACACACCGCCCGUCACGUCAUGGGAGUCGGUAACGCCUGAAGCCGGUAGUCUAGCCUGAGAAGGAGGACGCUGUCGAAGGCGGGACUGGCAACUGGGACGAAGU